GAUGAAGAACGCAGCGAAAUGCGAUAAGUAGUGUGAAUUGCAGAAUUCAGUGAAUCAUCGUAUCUUUGAACGCACAUUGCGCCCCUUGGUAUCCCGAGGGGCAUGCCUGUUCGAGCGUCAUUUCACCACUCAAGCCUGGCUUGGUGUUGGGCGACGUCCUCUUUGGGGACGCGCCUCGAAACGCUCGGCGGCGUGGCACCGGCUUUAAGCGUAGCAGAAUCUUUCGCUUUGGAAGUCGGGGCCCCGUCUGCCGGAAGACCUGCUCGCAAGGUUGACCUCGGAUCAGGCAGGGAUACCCGCUGAACUUAAGCAUAUCAAUAAGCGGAGGA
rnacentral:misc_RNA from 1 species